ensembl:lncRNA
CCCACCCCCCACCCCCCACUGUCCCCCGCUCCAGUCCCCAGAGACAGAUGGGUGUGUCCCAGGCAGAAGUAAGCUGUGCAGUGCUGUCUGGGACACAUUAGCUGAUGUAGAUACUAUCUGGGCCAGAGCUGGACCUGUUGGAGAGUCAGCGGCUAACAGAUAACUCCACCUUCCUUCCUUCUCACCAGCCAGACUUCUGCCAAAGUGUGUGUGUGUGCGUGUGUAUGUGAUGUGUGUAUGUGAUGCGUGUGUGUGCAAUGCGUGAAUGUGUGGUGUGUGUGUGUGAGUGUGUGGCUGACUCUGAAACAGCCCAGAUCCAGCCUGGCCUCCACUGCUGUCUCAGCUGGUGCUGUUGGGUCGCUGGGUAUCAGACAUGACCCUACAUAAAGCCAGCUCCAACGGCGACUUCCUUCUCCACAGUGCUGUGGUUUGGCCUUUUCAAUGAGUAUUGAAAACUGUGAACGGUCUCAUCUCCUACUUCCUUCUCUGGCAUCAGAAUUGUGUUGUUUAUGUUGAAUGUGAAGCUGCUGAUUGGUGUGUAAAAGAUGACUCUCACGUGUGUGUGUUUUAGGAUUCCUGAUUACGAGAGAUGCUUCUCUGGGACUUCUGUUUUUAUUUUAGUUUUUUUUAAAUGGGGACCUUUUUGUGUUGGGUAACAAUCAGUCCUGUGAUUGUGUUUCAGCCUCUGAUGCUGUCUGUGUCGGGCUCUGAGACUUGGGCCUGUUAUUUUGGCUUAGGUCAGCCAGAAUCCAGACCUUACAUGAUCGGUUCUUUUUUUUGUUUGUUUUUUUUGGAAAAGAAAGUAUUUAGCGUAUUCAGUGUAAUACUGGUCGACUUGGGUAACACAUAGGUGUUUCUACACAUUUCACACCACCUGAUUGUAACCAAGUGCUUAAAGGUGGCAAUCCAGUGCUGUCUCUAUGUGAAAAAAAAACGAACAAAAAAUACCCAACCCUUAUUCAUAAUCACUCCAUGUGUAUUGGUGUUACAAAAUUUCCUUUCAAUAACAAUUUGCUGCAGGGGUGGAGAUCCCAGUGGUUUGUGAAGGUAGGCUACUGUUGCAUCUCACUCUGGAUGUAUAUUAUAGCAAUGAAACCGCCAGAGGCUGCAGUGGUUCAGCGUAGACACCAUGCUUCAUUUAAAACACUAGCUAACUAAUCCUGCAGAGGGCGCUCUUGUGACGAGAGCUGUGCUGGGAUACAUCAAGUAUAAAUAAUAUCAUCAGCAUCUUAAUUAGACUAAUUCAUCAGUGAAUUUAACAGGAGUAACAGGUCACUGUCACUAUCACUGAGCAUUGUGCAUAUUUAAGCAUAACCCAUUGUAAUUAUUAUCAUACUGACAUUGUGUAAUAUAUGUACUGUUGCCUCACCAACUCUGAGAGGACUGUUUCUCAGUCGUAUUCAGCCACUUGGAACAGGAACGUCACUCACGCGGCAGACAGCGCAACCAUGGAAACGCAUCUCGGACCACGGCCGCCGCUGCCGACCGAUGUCUUUUGUUGAAAUGUUCUGAAGUCCAGUUCAAUGGCAGUACUUCCAUUUACUGUGCUCUCAUCCGCACAUUCCUUAUACUUUAUAAUGUUGUGAAACAUGUCCUACAUCCUGUUCUCUUUCAAUACAUUGUUCUAAUAAAAUGUAUGUUAAAG